GCAACCCUUGUCCUUAGUUACCAGCACGUUAUGGUGGGCACUCUAAGGAGACUGCCGGUGACAAACCGGAGGAAAGGUGGGGGAUGACGUCAAGUCAUCAUGGCCCUUACGGCCUGGGCUACACACGUGCUACAAUGGUCGGUACAAAGGGUUGCCAAGCCGCGAGGUGGAGCUAAUCCCAUAAAACCGAUCGUAGUCCGGAUCGCAGUCUGCAACUCGACUGCGUGAAGUCGGAAUCGCUAGUAAUCGUGAAUCAGAAUGUCACGGUGAAUACGUUCCCGGGCCUU
rnacentral:rRNA from 1 species